rnacentral:tRNA from 1 species
GGGCCCGUAGUAUACCGGUAGUACGCUUCCAUGGCAUGGAAGAGAAGGGAGUCCGAUUCUCCCCGGGUCCA